rnacentral:lncRNA from 1 species
UAAACUGGCUUGCGUUCCUCCUUCCCCUUCUUCCUCUAUUAGUUAUUCCUCUACUUCUGCUUGUUCUGUGUCUGCUUCUUGUAAUGAUGACAUUUUGUCUGAUAACAAGGCUGUUCUAUUGCCCUCACAUGUACAUAGUUCCAUGUGUAAUAAUGUUGUUACAACUGACAUGAAUUACAUUUGGCAUUUAAGACUUGCUCAUACUUCAUUUACAGAUGAGACAUAUUUCUGGUUUGUCUUUCCCAUUUGCUUCUAAACAACCUUUCCCCCGCUCUGUCUGUCCUAUGGCAAGACAGACUAGACUCCCCUUUCCUGAUAGUUCUAUUAACACCUCUAGACCCUUUCAAUUGAUUCAUGUGGAUACUUGGGGUCCUUAUCAUACUCCAACUUCUUAUGGUUGUAGAUAUUUCCUUACAAUUGUUGGUGAUUUCUCUAGGGCAACCUGGACACACUUAAUGGGAUCCAAAAGCAAUGCUUUUUCUCUGCUUAAGUCAUUCCUUUCUCUGGUUAAAACCCAAUUUAAUGCUGUGGUUCAAACUGUUAGAAGUGACAAUGCUUUAGAAUUUGGGUCUAGCAUUGAGGGUAUAUCUUUCUUUUGUAGUCAGGGGAUUCUUCAUCAAACCACCUGCCCGCAUUCUCCCCAACAGAAUGGUGUUGUUGAAAGAAAACAUAGAACCCUCCUUGAAACAUGUAGAGCUUUACUUUUCCAAUCUGGGUUACCUGUGUCUUUCUGGGGGACUGUUUGUUGACUACCACUUACCUCCUUAACAGAAUACCAUCCAGAUUACUUCACAUUAAGUCUCCUAAUGAAAUUUUGUAUGGGAUGGCUCCCACCUAUUCUCAUUUGAGAGCAUUUGGGUGCCUUGCCUAUGCUACUGUCCCAAUCCCUCAAAGGGACAAGUUAAGUCCAAAAGCCAUUUCUUGUGUUUUCCUUGGUUAUCCUUUUGCUACUUACCUCCUUAACAGAAUACCAUCCAAAUUACUUCACCAUAAGUCUCCUCAUGAAAUUUUUUAUGGGAAAG